rfam:Triticum aestivum genome assembly, contig: Triticum_aestivum_CS42_TGACv1_scaffold_129525_2BL
CUACUACUUCCUUCGUCCGGAAAUACUUGUCAUCAAAAUGGAUAAAAGGAGAUGUAUCUCUAGAUACAUCUCCUUUUAUCCAUUUUGAUGACAAGUAUUUCCGGACGGAGGGAGUAUAUA